UCUCAGCUCACUGCAACCUCCGCCUCCUGGGUUCAAGCGAUUCUCCUGCCUCAGCCUCCUGAGUAGCUGGGACUACAUGUGCGCGCCACAACGCCUGGCUAAUUUUUUGUAUUUUAGUAGAGACGGGGUUUCACCAUUUUGGCCAGGAUGGUCUCGAUCUCCUGACCUUGUGAUCCGCCCACCUUGGCCUCCCAAAGUGCUGGGAUUACAGGCAUGAGCCACUGCACCCGGCCUAAAUUUGUAAAUGAUGGGCAUGUAUCAUUUUUAUAAUAGCUAAAUAAAAAAACCAGUUGCAGAGAAUCCCCAAAGCAUAUGAUUUGGGGAAUGGUAAACAGAGAGCAGGACGCUUUUUUUUUUUGGUGGUGGGUGGUGGGGGCAGACAAAGGAACUCUGAUUUUGACCAUCAUCUCGUGGUGCUCUUGGGAGGCUCAUCAUUGGUUGGGUCCUCCCCCAUUGCCUUGUUGUCUCUCUGCCACAAGAUGGCAAUCACAGCACAAGGAUGGAUGGGCUUGCAGCCUCCAGGAAGGAACACUAAGCGUCUGUCUUCCAGCUACAGAGAAGUCUCCCUAAUGCAUAGUUGGGGGAAGGGGCUUUUAGAGAGGGAUUGAAAAGCUGACAUCCCCUGCUGACCCAAACUCCAGGCAGUCCGGCAGUCAUAGUCAGACGCUUCCAUUUGCAGUAACCCAUAGCUCUUCCCAGAACAGAGCUACAUUGUGCAUUUUGCUUUCUGAUGAAAGAGACAUAGAGACAAAAUGACACAGAGGUUUCCGGGCAUAGAAUGAGGCCAGUGAGCCUGGAGAAUGGGUUAUUUGUAAUCUGUGGGGUUAUUUAUUCUGUGAUGUGUAUAGAUUCUUUUUGUUCCUUGAGUAGAAAUUGGUGCUGGUCUUCUAGAUGCAGAGGCUACAAAACAAAUCCCAGGGUAGGCAGCCAGUGGCUUUCUCUGGGGUCUUCCCAGGUGGAUAUCUGGGUAGGGCAGCUUCCACUGAGGCUCAGCUUUUGGGAUGAUUCCACAAUAGAAGUUCAUUUCCUGCUUGUGUAAUGUUCAAAAUGGCUGAUCCCUGAUCAGCUAGUGGGUAAUUCUUCCUCAAAUGGUGAUAGAAGCACCCAACCUCCUUCCAACUUGGGACUCUUCCAUUUUCAACACGUGGCUUCUACAGAUUCUUACAAGAAGUAGAAAGA
rnacentral:lncRNA from 10 species